CACUUCCACAGACAUUUCGACAAAAUUAUGAUGAACAUCUUUUGUUUUAUAACGUCACAUCAAGUAGGAAUUGUAGUAUACCAAAUCAAACAUAUUUGUUGAUAUUGUUGGAGAAGCUAAAAUCCAUCUACAACCGAAAACUUGUUCUGAGGCGCCGCACGGCAACAAGACUGACUCUGACAAUGACGACAGGGAACCUGGCGUGUUUGAUGGAGAACUUGCCCCGCUGUGCAUUUGGGAUACAGAAGAUGAGGACUUUGAUGGAUUUGUGGAUGAGGAUUGAUCAAAUAUAACAUUUACAUGACGCUGCACAGGAGAUAGUAAUAGAAGACGGGGGUACAGAGGAAGAAUCAUCUUCUAUUGUGACAGACGCAGAGCAGGAGUCAGCAAGGGAUGCCCAAGACUCAGAAGCAAUACCAGAAAGAUACAGAAAGAAAUGCCAAAGCAGAAGAAGAUGGAGAGACAGAGGAAAAAGAAGCAGAGGUCGACAAAGGCUGAUGUCUUCUCACCCCUAACCGUAACCCUAACCUUAAUCUUGAACUCUAAAUCUAAACCUU